rnacentral:rRNA from 1 species
GACGUAGGGCGCGAGCGUUGUCCGGACUUAUUGGGCGUAAAGAGCUCGUAGGCGGCUUGUCGCGUCGACUGUGAAAACCCGCGGCUCAACCGCGGGCCUGCAGCCGAUACGGGCAGGCUAGAGUUCGGUAGGGGAGACUGGAAUUCCUGGUGUAGCGGUGAAAUGCGCAGAUAUCAGGAGGAACACCGGUGGCGAAGGCGGAUCUCUGGGCCUUACCUGACGCUGAGGCGCGAAAGCUAGGGGAGCAAACAGG